GACGAACGCUAGCGGCGUGCUUAACACAUGCAAGUCGAACGGAAAGGCUCCAGCUUGCUGGAGUACUCGAGUGGCGAACGGGUGAGUAACACGUGGGUGAUCUGCCCUGCACUUCGGGAUAAGCCUGGGAAACUGGGUCUACUACCGGAUAGGACCGCACUUUGGUGUGUGUGGUGGACAGGUUUUUCUGGUGUGGGAUGAGCUCGCGGCCUAUCAGUUUGUUGGUGGGGUAAUGGCCUACCAAGACGGCGACGGGUAGCCGGCCUGAGAGGGUGGACGGUCACAUUGGGACUGAGAUACGGCCCAGACUCCUACGGGAGGCAGCAGUGGGGAAUAUUGCACAAUGGGGGAAACCCUGAUGCAGCGACGCCGCGUGGGGGAUGAAGGCCUUCGGGUUGGAAACUCCUUUCGCUAGGGACGAAGCUUUUUGUGACGGUACCUGGAGAAGAAGCACCGGCUAACUACGUG
rnacentral:rRNA from 1 species